AUGACCGCCACUCUGAGCCGCCGCCACACCAAGAUCGAGCAGCCCUCCGCCGAUUCGCCUGACAAGACCUCCUCAGCCGGCCCAUCUGGUAAUGUACCAGAGGACCGUGCCGCCCCUUCCUCUUCUCCCAGGCGCCACGAGGAGGAGGAGGAGGAGGUGAUCCCCGCCCUGCCGCGGAAGCGCUGCGAAGAUCCGCGCUCUCUGAGGCUCAGGCUGCUGAACCUCAUCCGUACCUUCUACCUGGAGGCGCUCUCCCGCCUGCCCGCCGCCCGACUCUGGAGCACGCACGCCCGCGGCGUCCUCGUCGCCGGCCACUGCUACGGGCCCCUCUCGCCCGUCGACAGCAUCCUCGUCAACGCCAUCUGGUACGACACAGCCUUUCCCCGCCGCCCCACCGGCGACUUUCACUUCGGCGAUGUGCUCGAGAUCAGUCCCGAAUGCAUCGCCCGCAUCGCUCACCGCUCCCUGGAGGGCCUCAUCGCCUGCCUCCUUCACCUCUGCCCCUCCCUCUCGCGCGACGACGCGCUCUUGCACCUCCACCUCUCCAAGGCCGACCUCUCCCGAGCCAUCGCCUCUGCCUCCGAUUCCGUCUCGGCGCCCACCCAAGCCGCCUUUCUCAAGGCCGCCGAGGCGGCGCACCACCCCAUGCCACACGCUUUGGCGCUCUUCGUCUCCUCGGUACUUCCCAAGGUUGAGCGUGAUGCGAGAAUGCUUCUCUGCGUCAACCGGGCGCUCACCGCCCCUGAGCUCGACCGCCUCUCUGACAUGCUGGUGCCCUCCCCGCUUCCGGAGGACCUCUAUCCUCCUCCCCCACUGGUGACGUCCUGGGUGGCCGCCGUAAUCAAGUCGCGCAUCGAAGGCUGCAAAUAUUCCCAGGAAACCUCACGCCAGCUGGUUGAGGCUGCAUUGUCCAAAUAUGCUCAGCAAACAGGCCAACAUUACGAGCUCCAUUUAGUCUGUGGCAUAAAUUUGUUCAUCCAAUCCGAAGCCUUUUGGCACAUCAACUUCUUGGCACGGCCAAAGGACGCUGCUGGUGAACUGCCCAUUUACUUCUUCGCCGAAGCAACGGUUGCAAUGGGCGAGGACGACGAAUUCCAAGAGGAGGAUAUCGUCUUGUGCUGCCCAAUCAAACCGGCUGGAAUUGGUGGGUGUGGAGCUUGUACUGCCCAAUAUAAAAAGCUCAACCACCCUAUUGACAAAGAACACCAUGGGGGAUUGGAUGACUAUGACGAAGAGAUUGGGAAUGGAGAUGAUCACUGGGAUUAUAAAUUUCCUCAGCUUGUAGACUUCAUCAUGUUUGAUGCUGAGAAGGACUGUGCAACUGUACGUCAUAUAGAGAAGCGCUUUCCUCCUAGGCCCGACGGGGAUGAAAGCGCCGAGAAUUUAUGGAUCACUGAAAUGUGA
rnacentral:rRNA from 1 species